rnacentral:lncRNA from 1 species
AGGCAAGAGGUCGGAGGUAUGGCUCCACUGGAAAAGUAGUUGCCAUGUGAUAUUGGGACCCAUAUCUGGAUUCUCAGCAUUCACAUGAAAGGGAAGAUUUGGCAGCGCAUGCACAUCUGUGACAUCAGCUCUGAGAAGCAGCACACAGGGGGACCUUGGAGGUUUGCUGGCCAUCCAGCUUUCCAACGUGGUGAGCUCCAGGUUCAGUAGGAAGAAGAGCUUCUCUCAAAAAUUAAGGCAAUUUGUAAUAGAUAAAAACACUCAGCGUUGACCUAUGGUUUCAACAUGUGAAGGCACACAGAUCUGAGGAUUCUUGUGCAUACAUGGGGACAAACACAAACAUAUUUGCAUAUAAUACAGGGAAGAAUAUGUUCUAGUGCUGGUACAUAUAGAGACAUAAGUACAGAUUAAUCAGUGAUUAAGUUCUUGCUGACAUAAAUUUUCAAGCCAAAAGUUAAUCUAGCACACUAGCCAUUGUAUACAAUGGCUGUGUAACGGAUACAGUACUCUCUCAUCUAAGUACUAACCAAAGCUCACUGCACUUAACUGCUGAGAUCAUUAGGAGAUCAGGAAUGCUCAUCAGUAUGUCAAUGGACUACUUGUCUCAAAUAUCACCACUGGGAUGGGGGACAACAGCCUCAGUAGCACGGUGUCCUGUUGUACACAUAAAAUGCCUUAGAAACCUAGCUACUUCUUACCCACCCAGAAGCAGCUCCAGUGCUCACGUAUCUGUCUCUCUGCUUUCUACACACAUGGCAGUUCUCACAGAGAAUCCCUGAAGCAUCGUCACUCAGUCACAUGAGAGAAAUGAACACUUUGAAAUUCUGUGUUCUGCUGCAGUGAUAUGGCCCGGCACAAGAAGCCUGACAAUCUGUGUUCAUUUCCAGAGUCUACACAAAGCUGAAGGAGAGGACUGACACACCCAGAGCUGUCCCAGUAAUAAUAACAUAUGAAAUACAUUUUUAAAAAGAAAUCCCGACUCCUGCGAAAGGAGUUGAGUUCUAACUUAUUUUUGAUUUAUACAAGCUUUUACCUCUUUCAAUUCCAGCCUGGGGGAGACAUCUCAGUGAUUAAAAGUCCUAGUCAUAUAAGUGUGAGUCUGGAUGCUCAGAACUCAAUUAGAAGCCAAACACAGCACCAUAAGAAUCUGCAAUCUAUCACUUCUCCUGUGACAUGGGAGGAGGACGAAGGCAGGGUUAUCCCUUGAAGUUUGUAGGCUAGCUUGCCUGGAGUAUGCAAAGGACAAACGCCAAGGAGACCUAGUUUCAAGCCAGGGGAAAGGUAAGCACUGACAGCCAGUGUUGUCCUUGGACUUUUAUAUAUAUUUCAUGGCAGAAGCAUAUUCAUAUCUACACACAUGACUGUCCACACAAAUGCACACAUACAAACAUGUGCGUCCAAGCAUAUCUUACACAUAUAUACAACAGAUAAAAAUUUUAAAAUUGUUUUCCUACUACAAUAAGAAAAAUAACUAAUGAGAUAGUUCUCUUGAAAACCAUCAGGAGAUUUACUCUUCUUUUAUUCUUAAACUGUACCCUCUAGAAAAUUACCAUUGAGUUUAUUUUGUGUUAGCCACCUCCUGCUAGGCAUGGAGCCUAUAAUUAAAUAUAGUUAAUACACCUGGUGAGACUCUGUUGAAAACCCUAAUUUUUCCUUUGCAAGUGGUGUCAAUUGGAGAUGGCUUCUUGAUUAGGACUGGAAGCUCACGUUCACUCCCUCUUCUCUGUGAAGGGGCCCUAUCUGGCUGGAACACACAGAGGCCAUGUGUGUUUCUGGGUAUUCAUAGGUGCAUCCUGCUGUUGUGUCUGGGAGAUACUUUCCUUGCUGCCAGCCCUCCUUUGUCUCUUACACCCCUUCCACCUCCUCUUCUGCUUGGCUCCCUGAGCCCUGGUGGGAUGGGUUUGAUGAAGACAUUUCUUUUAAGUUGUUUCUUUUCUAAACAAAGAAGGGAACACUUUGGAGUUGGGUAGUAAAUAAGAUUUGGGAGAAGUUGGAGAAGGAGGAACCAUGUUCAGAACAUAUUAUAUGACUGUUUUUUCAAUUUAAAAAAAACUUCCCUUCUUCCUCCUUGCAUCCUGCUUGCUUCUGUGGGUUUUGACAUGGCUACUUUUGUGUCAAACUUACUGACCAUGCUCACAAUUAUAAGAACUUUUCUUAACCUCUCUGCUCUAGUCUCAGUUUGCAUUUCUCUGGACUAUUGAUUUGCCCUAUGUCUAAGUUCGAAUACAGUUAGAUUUCCAGAUAAAUUAUGUAUGAUCUAAGCACAGACUAGCUAAGUUGCGUAAUUCUAAAAAUAGUGCUUCUUCGUUAUCCUUUAUAGAGCCUUCAGGUAACAUCCAUUGUGCAGUGCAGACAUGUUUGUACCUCUUUGUGUUAUGUUGAUGGAUGUCCUUGGUGGGCUUUGCACUACAAAGGUAGCUGACCCAGAGAGCUGCACAGUUGAUUUAGACCAAACUGUAGUAGGGACUGGAUACAUAGUUCUCAGAGAAGUCAGAGGUUCUCUCCUCCAUAAAGAGCUUCAGACGUACAUGUGGACAGAAGGACGAUUUCAAAGCCAUAAAACAUAAACUAAAGCUUAGUUGAGAAGAAUCAUAUCAUGAGCAUUCAUUUCACAGUUUUUAGUGUCUUAUAACGUGGUUAGGAAAGAAAAUGAAUGCUAGAGAAGGAACGCCUGAAACAGAACCUUGUUUAAACACCUCUGUCCUGACAACCUGAAAAAGUGAUCCACUGAAUUUCUGAAUUGAUCAAUGCAGGAAGUAGAAGUAAAACUGCUUAAGUAAAACUUUACAGAAUUUCGAGAUAAUUUCUCAUUUCAAAAUUGUUAUGUGUAGCUUCUCACACAACUUUGCAGAGAAUAUGAUAUGGGUGUGUUUGUAUCUGUGCAUUCAACAUCAUGUAUAAAUUUAGUCUGAAUGAUACCUAAUGAACUUGAGAUUCUUCAUGAGAAUAAAGUGUGUUUGAGUGAAAUUGUCUGUGUCCAAGGCAAUAUGACUUCUUUUAAGUUUAUAAAAUCAAUUUAUGACAUAGAGGGUAGAUAGUACUGGAAAUAUUGUAAACUCUUGCUUAAGGUCUCAGGAACCAUUUUUCUCUUUUCCAUAUUAACUCUAAUGGUAAUAUUCAUAUUUACUUUUGACUUUUUAAGAGUGUUUUAAUAGGAAACAUUUGUAAAUUUUUCAUUUUUUGAAUUGAGUUAAAAACUGUCAUAAAGAUAACAGACUAAAGCAUGUUACAUGACUUUGUAUGUGUAUGUGUUUUUGGUGUCCAUGUAUGUGUGUGUACCCAUUUGUGGUGGUACAAGGUAACGUAGGGUAUCCUCCUGAUCACUUUGUAAGAAAUUUAUGGAAGCAUGGUGUCUGUAGUUGUUGGUUUUGAUUGUGGAUUUGAUACAGUGUUGAGUCACUUAAGUGGUAAUUUCAAUUGUCCUGCAGGCACACAUGUGAUGGGUUAAGAUGUGGGAAGACAUACAGUGAAUGUGGGCAGCACCGUUCAAGGUUGGAUUGAAGAAGAUGGGGGGAGGAACGUGAGCCUGGGAUAGCAUGGGUUCUCUUUCUGCUUUCAGCUAUUUUAAGUUUCUGCCACCAGACUUUGUGAUCUCCACCAUGACAGGAGAGAACCUAAAAUUAUGAGGCAAAUAAAAUUAUUCCUCCUUAAAUUGCUUUAUUGUAGUAAGAAGAAAACAAAGCAAGACAGUUUGUUAAUUAGACGCAAAGUUUACUAACAUGGCUAGUGUAACUCAUGAGACCACUCCAGCUAUUUCCAGUCGGUGCCUCCCCAAGUGCAGUGCCCGCCAUGCCUGCCUGACAUUUAUGUGGUUCUGGAAAUUCAAGGUCCUCACAACUCCUACUUGCAUGGAGGGUGUAGCAAGGAGACCUUUUUACCAGGCCUAUAUUAGUAUGUUUUCUAUUUCUUUUUAAAAAGCAAGUUACAACUUGAAUUUCAGAAACUUGAAACUUUAAAUUAAAAUUGUUUUAUAAUAUAUCACAUUUGAAUUUUCAAAUAUUAACUUUGAAAAUCAUUUAAAUGUGCAUAGUAUUACUAGCUUAUUGUGCUCAAAUGCAGUCAAAUCAUCAAAAUAAUUUGG